GCGCCGUAGCUAACGCAUUAAGUGCCCCGCCUGGGGAGUACGGCCGCAAGGCUAAAACUCAAAGGAAUUGACGGGGGCCCGCACAAGCGGCGGAGCAUGCGGAUUAAUUCGAUGCAACGCGAAGAACCUUACCAAGGCUUGACAUAUACUGGACCGCAUCAGAGAUGGUGUUUCCCUUCGGGGCUGGUAUACAGGUGGUGCAUGGUUGUCGUCAGCUCGUGUCGUGAGAUGUUGGGUUAAGUCCCGCAACGAGCGCAACCCUUGCCCUAUGUUGCCAGCACGUGAUGGUGGGGACUCGUGGGGGACUGCCGGGGUUAACUCGGAGGAAGGUGGGGAUGACGUCAAAUCAUCAUGCCCCUUAUGUCUUGGGCUUCACGCAUGCUACAAUGGCCGGUACAGAGGGUUGCGAUACUGUGAGGUGGAGCUAAUCCCUAAAAGCCGGUCUCAGUUCGGAUUGGGGUCUGCAACUCGACCCCAUGAAGUCGGAGUCGCUAGUAAUCGCAGAUCAGCAACGCUGCGGUGAAUACGUUCCCGGGCCUUGUACACACCGCCCGUCAAGUCACGAAAGUUGGUAACACCCAAAGCCGGUGGCCUAACCCUUUUGGGAGGGAGCCGUCUAAGGUGGGAUUGGCGAUUGGGACUAAGUCGUAACAAGGUAGCCGUACCGGAAGGUGCGGCUG
rnacentral:rRNA from 1 species